UGGGGAAUAUUGGACAAUGGGGGGAACCCUGAUCCAGCCAUGCCGCGUGUGUGAAGAAGGCCUUUUGGUUGUAAAGCACUUUAAGCGAGGAGGAGGCUCCCAGUAUUAAUACUACUGGAGAGUGGACGUUACUCGCAGAAUAAGCACCGGCUAACUCUGUGC
rnacentral:rRNA from 1 species